rnacentral:rRNA from 1 species
CCUACGGGAUGCAGCAGUGAGGAAUAUUGGUCAAUGGACGAGAGUCUGAACCAGCCAAGUAGCGUGAAGGAUGACUGCCCUAUGGGUUGUAAACUUCUUUUAUAUGGGAAUAAAAUGUUCCACGUGUGGGAUUUUGUAUGUACCAUAUGAAUAAGGAUCGGCUAACUCCGUGCCAGCAGCCGCGGUAAUACGGAGGAUCCGAGCGUUAUCCGGAUUUAUUGGGUUUAAAGGGAGCGUAGGUGGAUUGUUAAGUCAGUUGUGAAAGUUUGCGGCUCAAACGUAAAAUUGCAGUUGAAACUGGCAGUCUUGAGUACAGUAGAGGUGGGCGGAAGUCGUGGUGUAGCGGUGAAAUGCUUAGAUAUCACGAAGAACUCCGAUUGCGAAGGCAGUUCACUGGACUGCAACUGACACUGAGGCUCGAAAGUGUGGGUAUCAAACAGGAUUAGAUACCCGUGUAGUC